GACGAACGCUGGCGGCGUGCUUAACACAUGCAAGUCGAACGAUGAAGCUUGGUGCUUGCACUGGGUGGAUUAGUGGCGAACGGGUGAGUAACACGUGAGUAACCUGCCCUUUACUUCGGGAUAAGCUUGGGAAACUGGGUCUAAUACCGGAUAUUCUGCAUGGUCGGAUGGUUGUGUAGGAAAGAUUUUUUGGUAAGGGAUGGGCUCGCGGCCUAUCAGUUUGUUGGUGGGGUGAUGGCCUACCAAGACGACGACGGGUAGCCGGCCUGAGAGGGUGACCGGCCACACUGGGACUGAGACACGGCCCAGACUCCUACGGGAGGCAGCAGUGGGGAAUAUUGCACAAUGGGGGAAACCCUGAUGCAGCGACGCCGCGUGGGGGAUGACGGCCUUCGGGUUGUAAACCUCUUUCAGUAGGGAAGAAGCGAAAGUGACGGUACCUGCAGAAGAAGUACCGGCUAACUACGUGCCAGCAGCCGCGGUAAUACGUAGGGUACUAGCGUUGUCCGGAAUUAUUGGGCGUAAAGAGCUCGUAGGUGGUUUGUCGCGUCUGCUGUGGAAACGUGCCGCUUAACGGUGCGCGUGCAGUGGGUACGGGCGGACUAAAGUGCAGUAGGGGAGUCUGGAAUUCCCGGUGUAGCCGUGAAAUGCGCAGAUAUCAGGAGGAACCACCGGUGGCGAAAGGCGGGACUCUGGGCUGUUACUGACGCUGAGGAGCGAAAGCAUGGGGAGCGAACAGGAUUAGAUACCCUGGUAGUCCAUGCCGUAAACGUUGGGCACUAGGUGUGGGGUCCAUUCCACGGAUUCUGCGCCGUAGCUAACGCAUUAAGUGCCCCGCCUGGGGAGUACGGCCGCAAGGCUAAAACUCAAAGGAAUUGACGGGGGCCCGCACAAGCGGCGGAGCAUGCGGAUUAAUUCGAUGCAACGCGAAGAACCUUACCAAGGCUUGACAUGCACUAGACCAUCGCAGAGAUGUGGUUUUCUUUUUGACUGGUGUACAGGUGGUGCAUGGUUGUCGUCAGCUCGUGUCGUGAGAUGUUGGGUUAAGUCCCGCAACGAGCGCAACCCUCGUUCUAUGUUGCCAGCACGUGAUGGUGGGAACUCAUGGGAGACUGCCGGGGUCAACUCGGAGGAAGGUGGGGAUGACGUCAAAUCAUCAUGCCCUUUAUGUCUUGGGCUUCACGCAUGCUACAAUGGCCGGUACAGAGGGUGGCGAUACCGUGAGGUGGAGCGAAUCUCUUAAAGCCGGUCUCAGUUCGGAUCGUAGUCUGCAACUCGACUACGUGAAGUCGGAGUCGCUAGUAAUCGCAGAUCAGCAAUGCUGCGGUGAAUACGUUCCCGGGCCU
rnacentral:rRNA from 1 species